GGCUUACCAAUGAUGUUCAAAAAUAAAUGUCUGAACAAAUGACUGUCCAGUGAUAUUGACUUUUUACUGAGGUAAGCC
ensembl:snoRNA